rnacentral:rRNA from 1 species
UGUCCCAGCAGCCGCGGUAAUACAGAGGGUGCGAGCGUUAAUCGGAUUUACUGGGCGUAAAGCGUGCGUAGGCGGCUGAUUAAGUCGGAUGUGAAAUCCCUGAGCUUAACUUAGGAAUUGCAUUCGAUACUGGUCAGCAAGAGUAUGGGAGAGGAUGGUAGAAUUCCAGGUGUAGCGGUGAAAUGCGUAGAGAUCUGGAGGAAUACCGAUGGCGUAGGCAGCCAUCUGGCCUAAUACUGACGCUGAGGUACGAAAGCAUGGGGAGCAAACAGGAUUAGAUACCCUGGUAGUCCAUGCCGUAAACGAUGUCUACUAGCCGUUGGGGCCUUUGAGGCUUUAGUGGCGCAGCUAACGCGAUAAGUAGACCGCCUGGGGAGUACGGUCGCAAGACUAAAACUCAAAUGAAUUGACGGGGGCCCGCACAAGCGGUGGAGCAUGUGGUUUAAUUCGAUGCAACGCGAAGAACCUUACCUGGCCUUGACAUACUAGAAACUUUCCAGAGAUGGAUUGGUGCCUUCGGGAAUCUAGAUACAGGUGCUG